UAUAAACCUCAUGGUUCUUAACAAGCACUGCACACCAGAAUUGCCCGGAUGGUCUUUUCGAAACUGUGUAAAUGAGAGAGAAGACGCAAUACUUCUACUUUGUCAAAUGAAGACUUUCUUAAAGACUUCUUUGCUUACCUAUUCAACUUAUUUUUGACUGACAAGCUGAUUCUGAAGCAUAUAUUUUGCCAUAUUCUGUUCUCCUUCAGCCUUUGGGAGGCUUUAAGGGCAACCACUGAGGCUGCAUGAGAGGGAUGACAGCCCUGGCGUCCAGCAUCAGCACAGGUUCUUCGAAAGUUACAGUCCGACUGAGAAUUGAGCCAGGAAAUUAGUAGUCUGCUUAGAAAGUGGGACAUUUGUAUGGAAAACAAAUGCUCUAUGAACAUUGAGCCAGACCAUCAUCUUUGUUCACUAAGUGAACAAUAAGUUGAUCUGCUGAAACAAGUUUCUUAAGAUAAAUAAUAUUAGGAGCCAUAUUCAUCAUAGUGCAGAUGCUAGACAAAAAUGUUUGUCAGGAUAGGAACUCUAUAGAAUUUAUUCCUUUUUAAUGUAACCUUCAUAUCUGGCUAGAGACAGACCAUGAUGGUUAUUAUUCAUUUCAGGACAGGGCAUAAUCACCUUGGAAUAAUAAGAUCCUUAAAACUCUUUUGUGAGGAAAAACCCGUUGUCUGUAUUUUAAGAGAUGGAAGUAAAGUAAGGCAAAAAGUAUCUUAUUAAUGAGAAAUGUGUCAAAUGUCCUUGUGUGAUGCUUUGCCAUCAUAUUCAGAUGUUGAAAGAAAAAAGUUCCAAUGCAUAGUGCAAAAAACCGUAAUAAUAACAACAGAACAAACGUAGACUGCGGGUCCUGAUUACGGUGAAUACAAGGCAGAAACAGGGGCACUAAGUAACAAAAAAUAGAUUUCUGUGAAAAAUAGUGAUUGUGAAGAGGCAUCUUUCCAGUAUAGAAAAUUUAGAGAUUGUUUUUAGCUCAAGAAAAGUAACUACAAGUGGAUCUGAAAACUGCUUGAAUACCUUCCAAAAUUGCUCACGUAGGAACAGAAAAC
rnacentral:lncRNA from 1 species